rnacentral:rRNA from 1 species
AUUGAACGCUGGCGGCAGGCUUAACACAUGCAAGUCGAGCGGAGAGAGGUAGCUUGCUACUGAUCUUAGCGGCGGACGGGUGAGUAAUGCUUAGGAAUCUGCCUAUUAGUGGGGGACAACAUUUCGAAAGGAAUGCUAAUACCGCAUACGUCCUACGGGAGAAAGCAGGGGAUCUUCGGACCUUGCGCUAAUAGAUGAGCCUAAGUCGGAUUAGCUAGUUGGUGGGGUAAAGGCCUACCAAGGCGACGAUCUGUAGCGGGUCUGAGAGGAUGAGCCGCCACACUGGGACUGAGACACGGCCCAGACUCCUACGGGAGGCAGCAGUGGGGAAUAUUGGACAAUGGGCGGAAGCCUGAUCCAGCCAUGCCGCGUGUGUGAAGAAGGCCUUAUGGUUGUAAAGCACUUUAAGCGAGGAGGAGGCUACUUUAGUUAAUACCUAGAGAUAGUGGACGUUACUCGCAGAAUAAGCACCGGCUAACUCUGUGCCAGCCGCCGCAGUAAGAC